AGUGAACGCUGGCGGCAGGCCUAAUACAUGCAAGUCGAACGGCAGCACAGCAGAGCUUGCUCUGUGGGUGGCGAGUGGCGGACGGGUGAGGAAUACAUGGGAAUCUGCCCAGUCGUGGGGGAUAACGUAGGGAAACUUACGCUAAUACCGCAUGCGCCCUUCGGGGGAAAGCCGGGGACCUUCGGGCCUGGCGCGAUUGGAUGAGCCCAUGUCGGAUUAGCUAGUUGGCGGGGUAAUGGCCCACCAAGGCGACGAUCCGUAGCUGGUCUGAGAGGAUGAUCAGCCACACUGGAACUGAGACACGGUCCAGACUCCUACGGGAGCAGCAGUAGGGAAUAUUGGACAAUGGGCGCAAGCCUGAUCCAGCCAUGCCGCGUGAGUGAAGAAGGCCCUCGGGUUGUAAAGCUCUUUUGUCCGGAAGAAAAGCGCCGGGUUAAUACCCUGGUGUCCUGACGGUACCGGAAGAUAAGCACCGGCUAACUUCGUG
rnacentral:rRNA from 1 species